rnacentral:lncRNA from 1 species
GACAUACCACAGUGUGUUUAUACAUUUGUCUCAAUAGGCUCUGGAUUGUUUCUGGUUCCGCUGUUGUUUUCAGCAUACACCACCGGACACACGUAACACGGGUCUUCCCUGUGGUACCUAGGUGUGGCAGAGCCUCUGACCAGGCACUCUGAUUGACCUCCGGCUAACACCACCAGGACACCAUUUCCCAGGUCCCAGAGAGCCGGUGGUGCAAAGUCCCCUGGCUCUACCUAGAAAACUGGAGUCAGUGCUGGUAUGAGCACAUGAUGAAGCCCACGUGAGAGAACCAGGACGAAACGACUCUAUCACAACUUCAGAGGGACUGAAACGAGAGGAUCGUUUCUUCCUAAAUCCGGAAACUGGAAAGCCAGCCAGAAAGCAGGAGCCAUUUCCUAGAAUAAAUGUUGCGUGAAUGCAGAGAGAGAAGAGGAGCAUUGAGUUUCCAG